GGCUAGGCAAAGGGUGACCAUAUGACAAGCCCCCAACAUGAAACUCUGGGCAUUGAAUCUCUACUGACCUGCUCAGACAGGGUUUUACUCUAUCACCCAGGCUGGAGUAUAGAGGCACCAUCUCAGCUUACUGCAGCCUUGACCUCUCAGGCUCAACAGAUCCUCCCAUUCAGCCUCCUGAGUAGCUGGGACUACAGGCGCGCACAACCACAUCUGGGAUGCUAGAGAGCAGUCUUCAGCCUGAGACCCAUCUCUAGCUUCUAACAACUCAGUAUACUCCUAUGAACAAAAUUUGGAGCAUAUUUGUUUCUCUCUACCUGAUUUCUUCAGACUGUGGAAACUAUUUGACAUGAGACUUCACAGCCUGCUAAAAAUAAGCUUUUGGGACCUACCCAUCUAGGAAUAAACAGUCCAAGCCUUGAGAGAUCAGAUGAAAUCUGAGGCCAGAGACUCAUUUUCUUCUAAAAUGCUUUCUCCAAAAGAUUUUUAAAUAGAAAAGAGGGGAAAUGUGAAAGGAAAAUGUCUUGAGCCCCUUCAAGCUGGGAACUGCUCAGGACAAAUCUUUCUCUCAUUCUAUUCAAAGUCAUUUCUCUGCUCAGAGACAGAUGCAUAUUCUGAUUGUCUUCUUUGGAAAGACUUAUCAGAAACUCAAAAGAAUGCAACCGUCUGUCUCUCACCUACCUGUGACCUGGAAGCCCAUAGGGUAAAGGGGGCUUGCUUUGAGUUGUCUCUACUUUUCUGAAUGGAACGAAUGUACUUCUUACAUAUAUUGAUUGAUGUCUCAUGUUUCCCUAAAAUGUAUAAAACCAAGCUGUGCCCUGGCCACCUUGGGCAUGUGUUGUCAGGACUUCCUGAGGCUGUGUCACAGGUUCAUUCUCAACUUUGGCAAAUAAACUUUCUAAAUUAACUGAG